UAUUAAUUCUAUAGGUAGUAAACUAAACCAAUAUACGCUGGCGGUCUUUAUAAUCUAGAGAAACUCGCUUUAUAAUCGUAAAUACCCGUUAAUUUUAACUUUAUCAGAAUAAGCCUAUAUACCGCCGUUUAGAAUUUAAAACAAUUUAAAAUCCCCAAACUAACAACAAUAAAAAUCAGGUCAAGGUGUAGUUUAUGAUAAAGAAAAAGUAAGUUACAUUAAAAACAAUUUAAGAAUAUUACAUUAAAAUAAAUUUGAAAAAGAAUUUAGUUGUACGUUAUAGUUAAAAACUACUUCCGAAACUUGAAUAAAAGAUGC
rnacentral:rRNA from 1 species